GUCUCUUAACCCUUAUGCUCACUAUGAAAUUGACAAGAAGUUGAAAGCAAAUCUUAAAGGAAGUGCCAGAGGUUUUAGUAACAAAGUAAAUGAUGACACUCAAGUGAUCAAGGGUAAAAGCAAAAGUGGAGGAGUCUAUAAACGUCAAAAUGUCGGAAUCAAAGAAAUUGUUAGAGAUAGCCACCUAACUAAGAAGCCUAAUGCUAUAUGUCUUGCGUCAGGGGAUGCGCUAAAAUUAUCUUCAAGUGCUGAGGUUAGGGGUGGUUUUGAAUUGGCAUCUGAUCAUGUGACGCUGACUUCAGCCCUGGCCUCAGUUAAAGGAUCUGAUUCUGGAGAAGUAGCAAGUAAAGUUUCCAAUCACGUCAUACAAACUAAUGUGUCUACAGCUGAUACUUCAAUUACUUCUGAGGCUUCUGUCAUGAUGUCAGUUGAAUCUGUUGGGAAGAAGCAAACAGAUACUUGUACAAAGGAGUUAGCUUGUAAUACAAGAUUCAAAACUAGCAGUGAUGUUCGGAACAAUUUAGCUAACGAGGAGAUCGAUGAGUCCCAUGAAGAAAAAUCAGAUAAUUUGUUGUCCAAGUAUGACAGCAUUGAGUCAGAUUUGGAAAUUGUUGAGAAAUUUGAUGAAUUCCAGUUGAAUGAAACAUGUGUGCUGGUUGAAGAGGACAGGAUUCAUGUUCCACAGGGUCCUGUCAAACAGAAGUCCUAUAAGAAGAAGCUUCGGGAUGCUUUCUCCACGAAAAAGAGGUUGACAAGGAAAGAGUAUGAACAACUUGGAGCACUAUAUGGAGAUCAACAAAUCAAAGUAGAGUCCGAGGACAAGGUGAUGCCUGUUCUUGCCAUGAAUUCAAACACAAAAAUGUUGUCUGCUAAUGAUCAUCCUGAAUCUGAGUGGGAGAUUUUAUAGUUCUGAUUAUACUGUAAUUAGCAUUGUUGUUUGUCCAAUCAAUCCAUGGCGUCCUAGAGACUGAUAUAUUAUUAUGCAUUAUUUGCUGAUAAACGUGCAUUGCAUAUCAGCAAUCCGUUCCUCUAGUUGAGCUAGCCAGUAAAUUAUACGUAGUGGUACCUUGAAGAAACCGAUCCAUAUGUCCAUCUUGUAGCCAAUCUUGGCAAUCUCAUAAAUUAA
rnacentral:misc_RNA from 1 species